AUUGAACGCUGGCGGCAUGCUUUACACAUGCAAGUCGAACGGCAGCGCGGGGCAACCUGGCGGCGAGUGGCGAACGGGUGAGUAAUAUAUCGGAACGUACCCAAGAGUGGGGGAUAACGUAGCGAAAGUUACGCUAAUACCGCAUACGAUCCAAGGAUGAAAGUGGGGGAUUCGCAAGAACCUCAUGCUCCUGGAGCGGCCGAUAUCUGAUUAGCUAGUUGGUAGGGUAAAGGCCUACCAAGGCUACGAUCAGUAGCUGGUCUGAGAGGACGACCAGCCACACUGGAACUGAGACACGGUCCAGACUCCUACGGGAGGCAGCAGUGGGGAAUUUUGGACAAUGGGCGCAAGCCUGAUCCAGCAAUGCCGCGUGAGUGAAGAAGGCCUUCGGGUUGUAAAGCUCUUUUGUCAGGGAAGAAACGGUGGGGGCUAAUGUCCUCCACUAAUGACGGUACCUGAAGAAUAAGCACCGGCUAACUACGUGCCAGCAGCCGCGGUAAUACGUAGGGUGCAAGCGUUAAUCGGAAUUACUGGGCGUAAAGCGUGCGCAGGCGGUUUUGUAAGUCUGUCGUGAAAGCCCCGGGCUCAACCCUGGGAAUUGCGAUGGAGACUGCAAGGGCUUGAAUCUGGCAGAGGGGGGUAGAAUUCCACGUGUAGCAGUGAAAUGCGUAGAGAUGUGGAGGAACACCGAUGGCGAAGGCAGCCCCCUGGGUCAAGAUUGACGCUCAUGCACGAAAGCGUGGGGAGCAAACAGGAUUAGAUACCCUGGUAGUCCACGCCCUAAACGAUGUCUACUAGUUGUCGGGUUUUAAUUAACUUGGUAACGCAGCUAACGCGUGAAGUAGACCGCCUGGGGAGUACGGUCGCAAGAUUAAAACUCAAAGGAAUUGACGGGGACCCGCACAAGCGGUGGAUGAUGUGGAUUAAUUCGAUGCAACGCGAAAAACCUUACCUACCCUUGACAUGUACGGAAGUCACGAGAGAUCGAGAUGUGCUCGAAAGAGAACCGUAACACAGGUGCUGCAUGGCUGUCGUCAGCUCGUGUCGUGAGAUGUUGGGUUAAGUCCCGCAACGAGCGCAACCCUUGUCAUUAGUUGCUACAUUUAGUUGAGCACUCUAAUGAGACUGCCGGUGACAAACCGGAGGAAGGUGGGGAUGACGUCAAGUCCUCAUGGCCCUUAUGGGUAGGGCUUCACACGUCAUACAAUGGUACAUACAGAGGGCCGCCAACCCGCGAGGGGGAGCUAAUCCCAGAAAGUGUAUCGUAGUCCGGAUCGCAGUCUGCAACUCGACUGCGUGAAGUUGGAAUCGCUAGUAAUCGCGGAUCAGCAUGUCGCGGUGAAUACGUUCCCGGGUCU
rnacentral:rRNA from 1 species